rnacentral:rRNA from 1 species
GACGAACGCUGGCGGCGUGCUUAACACAUGCAAGUCGAACGGAAAGGCCCUGCUUUUGUGGGGGGCUCGAGUGGCGAACGGGUGAGUAACACGUGAGUAACCUGCCCUUGACUUUGGGAUAACUUCAGGAAACUGGGGCUAAUACCGGAUAGGAGCUCCUGCUGCAUGGUGGGGGUUGGAAAGUUUCGUCGGUUGGGGAUGGACUCGCGGCUUAUCAGCUUGUUGGUGGGGUAGUGGCUUACCAAGGCUUUGACGGGUAGCCGGCCUGAGAGGGUGACCGGCCACAUUGGGACUGAGAUACGGCCCAGACUCCUACGGGAGGCAGCAGUGGGGAAUAUUGCACAAUGGGCGGAAGCCUGAUGCAGCAACGCCGCGUGCGGGAUGACGGCCUUCGGGUUGUAAACCGCUUUCGCCUGUGACGAAGCGUGAGUGACGGUAAUGGGUAAAGAAGCACCGGCUAACUACGUG